AAAAUGGCACUGAUAGACCUGUUCAACGCUGGGUUGCCAGAAACAUUCCAUUCGUGAAAAACAGUCUAAGCUGUGGAGCAUGAUAAAGCAAAGUGCUGUAAUUUUAUCUUUUCCUUGGGCUGUGGGUGGGGUCCAAUGCUUGUCCCUGAGACAGGUAUAGAAGUGCACCUAUUUUAAGUUUGAGGUAAUAUGUUGGCUUAAAAGAGUAAUACAUUGUCUUCAUUUUUCUUUUUAAUAGGUAUCACUUUCUUAUCUUCACUCAACCUCAUAAAGCUGGUGGUGUAAAGAGAGUGGCCAUCUUAUUUUCCAGGUGGACACGGAACUGUAGUGCUGGUCAUCCCUCUGCACUGGACUGGAUUCUGCCAAAGUCAACUAAGUAAGUGCUUUCAGUUGCCUGCUCUCUGAUCUCCAGGUAAGAGCCUGCAGAGC
rnacentral:lncRNA from 13 species